AGAGUUUGAUCAUGGCUCAGGAUGGACGCUGGCGGCGUGCCUAAUACAUGCAAGUCGAACGCGAAAGGUCUGAAGCCUUCGGGCGGAGGGCCGAGUAGAGUGGCGAACGGGUGAGGAACACGUAGGUGACCUGCCCCGGAGAGGGGGAUAACCGUCGGAAACGGCGGCUAAUACCCCAUAAGCUCACGCGAGUUAGAGGGCGUGUGAGAAAAGCUCCGGCGCUCCGGGAGGGGCCUGCGGCCCAUCAGCUAGUUGGUAGGGUAAAGGCCUACCAAGGCGAAGACGGGUAGGGGGCCUGAGAGGGUGGUCCCCCACAUGGGAACUGAGACACGGUCCCAACUCCUACGGGAGGCAGCAGUAAGGAAUAUUGCACAAUGGGCGCAAGCCUGAUGCAGCAACGCCGCGUGCCCGAGGACGGCCUUCGGGUUGUAAAGGGCUUUUCUGGCUGACGAGGAAGGACGGUAGGCCAGGAAUAAGCGUCGGCUAACUACGUGCCAGCAGCCGCGGUAAU
rnacentral:rRNA from 1 species